rnacentral:rRNA from 1 species
CGCCAGCAGCCGCGGUAAUACGUAGGUGGCGAGCGUUGUCCGGAAUUACUGGGUGUAAAGGGCGUGUAGGCGGGAGAGCAAGUCAGAUGUGAAAUUCCACGGCUUAACUGUGGCGCUGCAUCUGAAACUGUUCUUCUUGAGUGCUGGAGAGGAAAGCGGAAUUCCUAGUGUAGCGGUGAAAUGCGUAGAUAUUAGGAGGAACACCAGUGGCGAAGGCGGCUUUCUGGACAGUAACUGACGCUGAGGCGCGAAAGCGUGGGGAGCAAACAGGAUUAGAUACCCUGGUAGUCCACGCUGUAAACGAUGGAUACUAGGUGUAGGAGGUAUCGACCCCUUCUGUGCCGGAGUUAACACAAUAAGUAUCCCACCUGGGGAGUACGGCCGCAAGGUUGAAACUUAAAGGAAUUGGCGGGGGAU